AAACUAUAAAUGUUUUGUUUUGAAAACAAAAAUUAAGAAUUUAAUUCUUGUAGUUUUA
rnacentral:tRNA from 1 species